GGAUUGUGGCUCAUCGGUAGAGCGCUCGCCUAGCGUGCGCGGGACGGGGGUUCGAUUCUCAGCACCA
rnacentral:tRNA from 1 species